rnacentral:rRNA from 1 species
CUACGAGAUGCACCAGUGGGGAAUAUUGGACAAUGGGGGAAACCCUGACCCAGCAAUGCCGCGUGUGUGAAGAAGGCCUGCGGGUUGUAAAGCACUUUCGGUUGGGAGGACUGCUUCUAGCACUAAUAUUGUUGGAAGUUGACGUUACCUUCAGAAGAAGCACCGGCUAACUCCGUGCCAGCAGCCGCGGUGAAUACGGAGGGUGCAAGCGUUAAUCGGAAUUACUGGGCGUAAAGCGCGCGUAGGCGGCUAGAUCAGUCGGGUGUGAAAGCCCCGGGCUUAACCUGGGAACUGCAUCCGAUACUGUCUAGCUUGAGUACAGGAGAGGAGAGUGGAAUUCCACAUGUAGCGGUGAAAUGCGUAGAUAUGUGGAGGAACACCAAUGGCGAAGGCAGCUCUCUGGCCUGAUACUGACGCUGAGGUGCGAAAGCGUGGGGAGCAAACAGGAUUAGAUACCCUAGUAGUC